rnacentral:rRNA from 1 species
UUAACACAUGCAAGUCGAACGGUAACAUUGGAGCUUGCUCCAGAUGACGAGUGGCGGACGGGUGAGUAAUGCAUAGGAAAUUGCCGAUUAGUGGGGGACAACAUGUGGAAACGCAUGCUAAUACCGCAUACGCCCUACGGGGGAAAGGUGGCCAAUCCUUGGAAGCUACCGCUAAUUGAUGUGCCUAUGUCUGAUUAGCUAGUUGGUGGGGUAAUGGCCCACCAAGGCGACGAUCAGUAGCUGGUCUGAGAGGAUGAUCAGCCACACUGGGACUGAGACACGGCCCAGACUCCUACGGGAGGCAGCAGUGGGGAAUAUUGGACAAUGGGGGCAACCCUGAUCCAGCAAUACCGCGUGUGUGAAGAAGGCUCGAGGGUCGUAAAGCACUUUCAAUAGUGAAGAUUGGAAUACAGGUUAAUACCCUGUGUUUUUGACGUUAACUAUACAAGAAGCACCGGCUAACUCAGUGCCAGCAGCCGCGGUAAUACUGAGGGUGCAAGCGUUAAUCGGAAUUACUGGGCGUAAAGCGCGCGUAGGCGGUAAGUUAAGUUGGAUGUGAAAUCCCUGGGCUCAACCUAGGAACUGCAUUCAAAACUGGCUCACUAGAGUAUGGUAGAGGUAAGUGGAAUUCCAGGUGUAGCGGUGAAAUGCGUAGAUAUCUGGAGGAACAUCAGUGGCGAAGGCGACUUACUGGGCCAAUACUGACGCUGAGGUGCGAAAGCAUGGGUAGCAAACGGGAUUAGAUACCCCGGUAGUCCAUGCCGUAAACGAUGUCAACUAGCCGUUGGGCCCGUUAGGGUUUAGUGGCGCAGCUAACGCAUUAAGUUGACCGCCUGGGGAGUAC